rnacentral:rRNA from 1 species
AUUGAACGCUGGCGGCAUGCUUUACACAUGCAAGUCGAACGGCAGCACGGGUGCUUGCACCUGGUGGCGAGUGGCGGACGGGUGAGUAAUACAUCGGAACGUGUCCAGAAGAGGGGGAUAACGCAUCGAAAGAUGUGCUAAUACCGCAUAUGCUCUGAGGAGGAAAGUAGGGGAUCGAAAGACCUUACGCUUUUGGAGCGGCCGAUGUCUGAUUAGCUAGUUGGUGGGGUAAGGGCCGUACCAAGGCGACGAUCAGUAGUUGGUCUGAGAGGACGACCCAGCCACACUGGGACUGAGACACGGCCCAGACUCCUACGGGAGGCAGCAGUGGGGAAUUUUGGACAAUGGGCGCAAGCCUGAUCCAGCAAUGCCGCGUGAGUGAAGAAGG